AACGAACGCUGGCGGCAGGCCUAACACAUGCAAGUCGAGCGCGCCUUCGGGUGAGCGGCGGACGGGUGAGUAACGCGUGGGAAUAUGCCCUUCUCUACGGAAUAGUCCUGGGAAACUGGGGGUAAUACCGUAUACGCCCUUUGGGGGAAAGAUUUAUCGGGGAAGGAUUAGCCCGCGUUGGAUUAGGUAGUUGGUGGGGUAAUGGCCUACCAAGCCGACGAUCCAUAGCUGGUUUGAGAGGAUGAUCAGCCACACUGGGACUGAGACACGGCCCAGACUCCUGCGGGGAGCAGAGGGGGAGAGUCUGCGACAUGGGGGUCAACCCUGAUAAACGCAGGGUACGGGGGGGAAGAGGCCCUUAGGUUUAAAAAGCUCUCACGGGGGGAAAUGUAAGGCCGGUAAAAGGGAAAGGGCCCCCGGCUAACGCGGUGCAAGAGGCGGCGGAAAGGGACGAGGAGAAUACGUCUGACU
rnacentral:rRNA from 1 species